rnacentral:rRNA from 1 species
UACAUGGGGGGCAAGCGUUGUUCGGAAUUACUGGGCGUAAAGGGCUCGUAGGCGGCCAACUAAGUCACACGUGAAAUCCCCAGGCUUAACCUGGGAACUGCGUGUGAUACUGGAUGGCUUGAAUCCGGGAGAGGGAUGCAGAAUUCCAGGUGUAGCGGUGAAAUGCGUAGAUAUCUGGAGGAAUACCGGUGGCGAAGGCGGCGUCCUGGACCGGCAUUGACGCUGAUGAGCGAAAGCUAGGGGAGCAAACGGG